rnacentral:rRNA from 1 species
UGGGGAAUAUUGCACAAUGGAGGGAACUCUGAUGCAGCGACGCCGCGUGAACGAAGAAGGCUUUCGAGUCGUAAAGUUCUUUUAUAUGGGAAGAUAAUGACGGUACCAUAAGAAAAAGCCCCGGCUAACUACGUGCCAGCAGCCGCGGUAAUACGUAGGGGGCUAGCGUUGUCCGGAAUCACUGGGCGUAAAGGGUUCGCAGGCGGAAAUGCAAGUCAGGUGUAAAAGGCAGUAGCUUAACUACUGUAAGCAUUUGAAACUGCAUAUCUUGAGAAGAGUAGAGGUAAGUGGAAUUUUUAGUGUAGCGGUGAAAUGCGUAGAUAUUAAAAAGAAUACCGGUGGCGAAGGCGGCCCCCUGGACGAAGACUGACGCUCAGGUGCGAAAGCGUGGGGAGCAAACAGG